rnacentral:rRNA from 1 species
AGCGAACGCUGGCGGCGUGGCUAAGACAUGCAAGUCGAACGGACCGCAAGGUCAGUGGCGGAAGGGUGAGUAACGCAUGGGCGACCUGCCGAGGACACCGGGACAGCCGAGGGAAACCUCGGGUAAUACCGGAUGACGUCGGCCCGGGGCAUACCGGGCCGACCAAAGGUCCGCCGGUCCUCGAGGGGCCCAUGUCCUAUCAGCUUGUUGGCGGGGUGGACGGCCCACCAAGGCGACGACGGGUAGCCGGACNGAGAGGGUGACCGGCCACACUGGGACUGAGACACGGCCCAGACUCCUACGGGAGGGCAGCAGUAAGGAAUAUUGGUCAAUGGACGCAAGUCUGAACCAGCCAUGCCGCGUGAAGGAUGAAGGCCCUCUGGGUUGUAACUUAC